AACGAACGCUGGCGGCGCGCCUAAUACAUGCAAGUCGAGCGAGAAGACGUAGCAAUACGUUUGUAAAGCGGCGAACGGGUGAGGAAUACAUGGGUAACCUACCCUCGAGUGGGGAAGUAACUAGCCGAAGGUUAGCUAAUACCGCGUACGCUCCUUGGACUUCGGUUUCAGGGAGGAAAGACGAUACCGUGGGCAUCGCGCUCUUGGAUGGGCGUCAUGUCCUAUCAGCUUGUUGGUGAGGUAACGGCUCACCAAGGCUUCGACGGGUAGCUGGUCUGAGAGGACGAUCAGCCACACUGGCACUGCGACACGGGCCAGACUCCUACGGGAGGCAGCAGUAAGGAAUAUUGCGCAAUGGGCGAAAGCCUGACGCAGCGACGCCGCGUGGGGGAGUGAAGGUCG
rnacentral:rRNA from 1 species